CACCAGGGACCGUAAAGGGGAGAAGAGCGGAUAAUGGGGGAAAGGAGGGACAUGGAGCAUCACCAGACCUGGUCGAGAUGAGAGGUACAAGGGGGUAAAGUGGGGGUGGGGUGGAGGGCGCUCCAAACUCUCCCUGACAACGAAGGAAGGGCUCACAGACAUACCACUGCUGCUACUGGAAGGAGGCUGGGAGUGGUUAAAGAGGAGUAAGGGGUGGGAGAUCCUCAAACAUUCUCCUAGUGGGUCGGACAUUGAUCCAGAAUAAGAAAAGAGAGGAGUGAGCCCCGUCUUCAUGCACUCCCCAUUGCUGAGUCCGCCUCCACCGCCCCUCGGACUUUGGCCAUUGGCUCCGCUGGACUCGGCCCUCCAUUCUUAUUGGAUCAGGGUCACGCCUGUCAAGGCAGGACCCGCGGAAUGUGGGUCGUGUUCCGGAUUAGGAGGGGCUGCCUGAAACGUCAGGGUCUAGGGCAAAUUCGCACGUCCGGGCUCGCGCAGGCGCAGUUGGGAAGAGACCUGCGUGCCCUGGGCUUUAACCCCAAUCGUGCCAUGAUGGAAUAAAGCAGAGCUAUUUUUGUGGGGAGGGGAGGGUCACUAGGGGCUAACUUUAGGAGUUUCCGAAUCUGAACGGGGAAUCCUCAAGGGCCCUUUUUCACUCCAGUGACCCUGUGCCCAACUACUCAUUUGGGACUUUCCUGUGUCUCAGUUUUACCGUCUUUGAAAUGGGUUGGAAUCAGAAAAAAAAAUCUCUGCAGCGUUUUCCGGUUCUAGGAGACUGUAAUCAUAACCUUUGAUAAGAGUGGGUCUCUGGUGUGGCCAGGGCAGGGGGGUCUGGCCCUAGGAGUGAAGGCCUGCUUGCUGUUUGGGGAGGCUUCCUUUAGGAAUGGAGUUGAUAAGGAUUUUCAAAGACUAAUCAGGGAUGGUCAGGUGAAGAGGGGAGGGAAGUGCGAACCUGAGAUGAGGCAUAACUGCAGGGAAGCGUGUGUACGGUAAACACAAAGUCUUUUUUUAAAGUUUACUUUUCCCUGGUGUCACAAGUGAAAGAGACUCGCCAUCCUCCUUUUUCUUAUUUUCUUUAGAAAACUCGUAAAAUUUUUCUCUGUCCCUUGGAGAGGUCUGCGACUCUUUAAAAAAGCUAAAUAGGCUUUCUGCCAGUUUUACAGUUCAGGAAUGCUGUUCUUAAGGUCCUGGGAGCCAGGUCUUUGAAAUGCAAAGGUAAACAGCGAUUGGGCCUUAUCUCCACCUGCGUAGGAAUUUGACCUGGGCGGCUGGCUCCAAGUCAUCACCUGCUUGUCAAAGAGAUAUGCGUUUUAUUUUUCCUUUGCCUAAAGGCAGAUGGCUACCCCAAUUACCAGGUGAAUUUGAGAGGAACUGUGUGUAGCGAGUGGUGCUGUCAAGUUCUGAAGACAAGUUAUCAUCUAUCUUUAAGACCAUGUAGGUCAUGGGUUGUAUCUGCCUGACUCUAUGAAAGGAGGAGAUUUCUUUCUCGGAAAUCUCUUUAGUGAAUUGCUUGUGAUGCCCCUCACGGUCUGAUUUAAUGCUUAUUCGAUAAUAAACCUAUUCCGCUCUUCGCUACCUUUGUGGAGAGGAUUUGCUGGGUUGGCAUGCGAUUUAUUUGUAAUGAUUUCCCCAACAGUAUGAACCGCCUGUUGUGUUUGAAGUGCAUACCUUCUNNNNNNNNNNNNNNNNNNCUCUGCAACGCAAUGGGAAAAGAUCAAAGAAAGGGCAUUAGGUGAGGGGGCCUCAACACACUUCAACUUGUAUUUAUUGAGGGUGUUCUCUGUCUAUAAAGAGAAAGACAAAAGUACAGCUCAAUGGGCUGUCAUAUUAACCUCCAUUUCCCAUGGCCCCUUGUCGGAUCCUCACCAUUCGAUGGCUGAAAUGUUAAAAACUGACAGGACCACCUAUUGAUGAGAAUGUGGAGCAACUUAAAUCUUCACCUGUUGCUCUUGGGAGUAUAGAAUGGUACAUUCACAUUGGAAACAGUUUGGCAGCUUCAUAGAAAAUAAAACAUAGGCGUCCCCAUUGUGGCUCAGCGGUAACGAACCCAACGAGGAUCCAUGAGAAUGCCG
rnacentral:lncRNA from 1 species